rnacentral:rRNA from 1 species
AUUGAACGCUGGCGGCAGGCCUAACACAUGCAAGUCGAGCGGAUGAGUGGAGCUUGCUCCAUGAUUCAGCGGCGGACGGGUGAGUAAUGCCUAGGAAUCUGCCUGGUAGUGGGGGACAACGUUUCGAAAGGAACGCUAAUACCGCAUACGUCCUACGGGAGAAAGCAGGGGACCUUCGGGCCUUGCGCUAUCAGAUGAGCCUAGGUCGGAUUAGCUAGUAGGUGAGGUAAUGGCUCACCUAGGCGACGAUCCGUAACUGGUCUGAGAGGAUGAUCAGUCACACUGGAACUGAGACACGGUCCAGACUCCUACGGGAGGCAGCAGUGGGGAAUAUUGGACAAUGGGCGAAAGACCUGAUCCAGCCAUGCCGCGUGUGUGGAAGAAA